rnacentral:sRNA from 2 species
AUUGGCCCCCUAAGGCCCUAGACAAGGACUGGGAACGGCUCAUUUGUGGAUGAUGACAUCAAGCGGCCCAAACUCCCCGGCGCAACAUCGCCAGUCGCAUGGUUGGAAAGUUUAAGUUUUUUAAGGCCAAACCAGUUGGUUUUCGGGUUGUAAACAGUAACUGCGAAUAUUUAUAUUAUUGCCCGGGGGGCGUCCAAGUGGUGCUUGCCGUGCGAUCCGCGAGGUUAUUGACGAUAGUUACUAAAUAAAUAAUGCAUUUCUGAAGGAGUGAAGGAGCCGAUGUUGAUUUCUAAGUAACCAACCGCAGGUUAUCCGUGGAAUCCUCCGCAACUUGCUCCAAGGUUGCAUUUGUUCUUCCCAGCCUCCGAUUGUCCUGUGCGUGUACAGUACAUACCUGGAUAUAUAUACGCUGUUUUAACGCAGUAUAUCGCGUUUACAUGUCCACUGAAAAGGGGCCCAGUGCAAGCCUUGGAUUUUUUUUUUCUUUUUCUUUCUUUUCUGUUGGUGGGGUGGCCUCAACUGCGCACUUCAUCUCCGUUAUUUCAUUCUCCAAGCUACAAAG